UACGGAGGGUGCAAGCGUUAAUCGGAAUUACUGGGCGUAAAGCGCGCGUAGGUGGUUUGAUAAGCGAGAUGUGAAAGCCCCGGGCUUAACCUGGGAACGGCAUUUCGAACUGCAGGCUAGAGUAUGGUAGAGGGUAGUGGAAUUUCCUGUGUAGCGGUGAAAUGCGUAGAUAUAGGAAGGAACACCAGUGGCGAGGCGGCAUACCUGGACCAAUACUGACACUGAGGCCGAAGA
rnacentral:rRNA from 1 species